CACUGUGAUUGAGAAGAAAAACUUCUAACCAAGAAAUGGGUGAACUGAAUUGGAGUUUGAAAUCUGCUACUUCUGAACUCUGUAUCUGAAGUUACUUCUAGAGAUCUAAGAGCAUCCGUAUCAUCUGCAAAUGGAUCAUUACGAUGGAAGGUGUUAAAAUACAAUUGAACAGUCUUCUGGAGAAAAAACAAAUAUUUGGAAGAUAAAGGAAGAAAAGAUAAAUGAGAGGAAAUGUAGGCAGGUCCUGUGGUUCAGUCAAGGAACUGAAACCAAAAAUAACUCGGAGACCCAGGAUAAGCCAAACCGAAUUUGGGGACUUGAAUCCUCAGUCCCACCGGGAGAGGGAUGAACAUGUUUGUACACUGAGGGGAACCGCCAAUGGAGCAUCGGAGCAGAGCAGUGCUCAAGGAAUGUUUACAGCUAAGGAGGCUCCAUGGAGGAUUGCUUGAAGGACAUGAAGUCCAUCUGUCUCCCUAGAUAGUUUAGAUUAUAUCUCAAGGUCAAGAGAGAUCAGACAUACACCCCGAUUCUGUUUCUGUGGCUCUCCAGUCCCCACCACAAGGAGAGAGACAGAGUUUCCUUGGGGACUCAGAAGUGACUUCUAUACUCCGGGAGGCUCUUGGGUAAGUAACUGCAGAGCCCUCUGAAUGGCUUUAUGAGUGCCUUGCUUUUAGAAGGAUGCAGGAAAAAAGUGUCCAACCCAUAGUCACUGUUCAAUAAACAUUUACUAAAUCUUG